rnacentral:rRNA from 1 species
AUUGAACGAUGGCGGCAGGCCUAACACAUGCAAGUCGAGCGGAGCGGCGGACGGGUGAGUAAUGCCUAGGAAUCUGCAUGGUAGUGGGGGAUAACGUCCGGAAACGGGCGCUAAUACCGCAUACUAUCAGAUGAGCCUAGGUCGGAUUAGCUAGUUGGUGGGGUAAAGGCCUAACAAGGCGACGAUCCGGAACUGGUCUGCGAGGAUGCGCAGUCAAACUGGAACUGAGAAACGGUCCGGACUCCGACGGUAGGCAGCAGUGUGGAAUAUUGGACAAUGGGCGAAAGCCUGAUCCAGCCAUGCCGCGUGUGUGAAGAAGGUCUUCGGAUUGUAAAGCACUUUAAGUUGGGAGGCGUUACCAACAGAAUAAGCACCGGCUAACUUCGUGCCAGCAGCCGCGGUAAUUC